GCUUUACCCUGGUGCUGCCAGGUUGUGCCCCUCUGUGCCUCAUGCAAAGGAGGCCAUGUUGCAUCAAGCGCAAGGAGGGAGCCAGCAGCCAUAAACACUCAUGCUUGAAGAGAUCGUAAUGAUUCUGACAACACAAGCACAGACUGUAAACUGGAACAAGAUGCCAAACUCAGCUCAUGCCAGUUACUCACACCCAUGUCUUGGCUUGAAGAGAGGUUCAGUGAGGGGGAAAGGAAGGAACUACAUUCAAAUUCAGAUUUGCCAGAAGGAAGAUGGCUUGGAGAGAGAACAUGUUCCUUUGACAAGGCAUAAACAGAUGGACAGAAACCAGUCAUUAAUCACUUUGGAAAAGACAUGCUUACACCUGUCUUUGAAUGCCAGCAGAUGACAGACUGUGUAGGUCGUUUCCAGCGUGCUGUAGUAGGGGAUAUGGACAGUGUGUCUGAAACACACACUUUUUUACAAAAACAAACAGAAAUCUUCAAUAUUAUUUUAAAAGGGUGAAUUUCAAUGAAUUAGCAAAGUUUUACAAUAAACACUUGAAUGGCAGCAUGCAUGUGUUAGAUAAAUUUAGGGGACCCCCUAAGAUUGUCUAAACCUGCGAGUGAUAAACAAAACUUCAAAUCUCUGAAGCUCAUGCUGGAAGCGAACAAAGCCUUGCAUCAACCUUUCUGCCACAAAAAAACUGGGAGAUGAAAUAUCUUAUUUUAUUUAUAUUCCUAUUACUGAGACUUACAUGACCCAUGUGAGGGCAUUUGCUUGGCAACCACACAAGGCCAGCUGUUAAAAAUGGAGCAGAACCUCCCUGGCAGAGAACACAAUGUCCCGGGGAGUUCAGGGGGACAUGCGCGGUCUGGUUACUGUCCAGCCACCUCUGAUUAUGUCUCCACUCACACUUCUCCCUGCUCUAGAUACACUUUCCCUUAGUAACGUCAGGGGCUGAAAUGUUUUUGCAGCAGUUAUGAAACUCAAGCGCUCUGAUCUGAAGUAUGAGUGGAGUCCUUUCUCUUUCAUCUCUCGUGCUCUCGUGGCCUAUGACUACAGUGUUGAAGUGAAAUAUGAAGGGUUACUUGCUUUGUACUUUAAUCAUUCAAUAAAACCCUGUCAGACAAUA